rnacentral:rRNA from 1 species
GACGAACGCUGGCGGCGUGCCUAAUACAUGCAAGUAGAACGCUGAAGGAGGAGCUUGCUUCUCUGGAUGAGUUGCGAACGGGUGAGUAACGCGUAGGUAACCUGCCUGGUAGCGGGGGAUAACUAUUGGAAACGAUAGCUAAUACCGCAUAAGAGUAGAUGUUGCAUGACAUUUGCUUAAAAGGUGCAAUUGCAUCACUACCAGAUGGACCUGCGUUGUAUUAGCUAGUUGGUGGGGUAACGGCUCACCAAGGCGACGAUACAUAGCCGACCUGAGAGGGUGAUCGGCCACACUUGGACUGAGACACGGCCCAGACUCCUACGGGAGGCAGCAGUAGGGAAUCUUCGGCAAUGGACGGAAGUCUGACCGAGCAACGCCGCGUGAGUGAAGAAGGUUUUCGGAUCGUAAAGCUCUGUUGUAAGAGAAGAACGAGUGUGGGAGUGGAAAGUUCACACUGUGACGGUAUCUUACCAGAAAGGGACGGCUAACUACGUG